rnacentral:rRNA from 1 species
UACGAAGGGGCUAGCGUUGUUCGGAAUUACUGGGCGUAAAGCGCACGUAGGCGGAUAUUUAAGUCAGGGGUGAAAUCCCGGGGCUCAACCUCGGAACUGCCUUUGAUACUGGGGAUCUCGAGUCCGGAAGAGGUGAGUGGAACUCCGAGUGUAGAGGUGAAAUUCGUAGAUAUUCGCAAGAACACCAGUGCGAAGGCGGCUCACUGGCCCGGUACUGACGCUGAGGUGCGAAAGCGUGGGAGCAA